AGGAUUCUAGGCUUAGAGGU
rnacentral:miRNA from 1 species